rnacentral:lncRNA from 1 species
CAAAUUUCAAACCAUAUGUACAUAACAAAAUUCUUAACAGAUUAUAUAUAUAUAUUAUGGCAAUAUUGCACCUCAUAAAUAAUUUUGUAAAUAUAGUUUUCUGCUACAAUAUAUUUGUCAUGAGUGUUCACCAUUUAUACUUCUUCUCUUUGUAAUCUAAACAUCUAAACUAAUGGAAAAUAAAAUGAAUUUAUCAUGUCAGGUACAUUUUUCUUCAAAUUAAAAGAUAACAAGAAUGUGUCAAAAGUACACGGAUGCCCCACUUGCACUAUAAUUUUCAAUGUUUGAUGGACCGUGAAAUUGGGUAAAAAAUAAUGUGGAAUUAAAAUUAGAAAGAUCAUACCAUAGUGAACAUGUGUACUAAGUUUCAAGUUGAUUGAACUUCAACUUCAUUAAAAGCUACCUUGACCAAAAACUUUAACCUGAAACUCGCACUUUCAUUUUCUAUGUUCGGUGGACCGUGGAAUUGGGGUCAAAAGUCUAAUUUGGCUUUUAAAUUAGAAAGAUCAUAUCAUAAGGAACAUGUGUACCAAGUUUCAAUUUGAUUUGACUUCAGCUUCAUCAAAAACUACCUUGACCAAAAACUUUAACCUGAAGCGAGACAGACGAACAAACGUACAAACAAACGGACGGACGCACAGACCAGAAAACAUAAUGCCCCUCUACUAUUGUAGGUGGGGCAUAAAAAGUUCAAAAUUGUUUAUUAUCACCAUUUGAAGAUCAUUAAUUUGUCUUUAUGAUUUAAUAAACUAAUAAAUGUAUAAAUUUCACCUGGAAAUUAACUGUACAAAUCAACAGAAUAAAAAUUGUAUAACAGAAUAAAUUUGUAUUUAAAUUACCAUUAUCAUUAAAAUAAACAUAAAUCCUAAGAAUCAACAAACAAAGUUAAGAAGCAAAAAUAAUGAAUACAUAUGAAUUUUGACAAUCCUACUAGUAAAUGGUACAUGACAAGUAUAAACACUGACAGUUUUAUUUGUUGAAUGAUUUUCUAUUCCUAUUUCUAACACUGGUUCUGUAUCACAAUGUCACAUUUACAAUAAUAAAUGUAGCAUUGAUUCCCAAAUUUAUAUUUUGCCUAAAAUCUGUACAUGAAUGAAGACAGAUAGAAUUAUUUCAUAACAGCAUGGAUAAGACCAUUUCUUGGCUUGCUCAGGUUGAUUUAAAUACUGAAUACUUAAACUUUCUUUUUUUCUUCUCAGGCACCUGCAUGUACUUUACUCAUUUAUUCUAUUCAAAUCCCUAUUGGAAGGCUUCUGACUGUCUGAGUGAGCAUAAAAUCACUGUUAUCGAUAGCCGAUGACAAACAAUUUAAAUGUAAAUGAUUCAGUAUUAUUACCAACAUAAGUGUUGUUGUAGCACACACUGUUAUGAAAAUGGUUCUACUUGUUUGUAGCUCAAGUGCUAACAAAAUUAUUGAUAAGUCUAUUUCCAGCAUGGUUCAAACUAAAGACACAGUAUAUCCAUAUAGUUUUAAAAAUUUAAAAGUUUUCCUGAUUUUUAUAUUUUAAUGGAUACUAGAACAGCUUUUUUAAAGGUCAAAACCCAAUUAGAUAUUUCAUUAUAUGUUAAGGAAACAUAUAACAGGCUAUUAUUUAAACUUAGAAUUAUUUUUAAUUAUGGAAUUUGCAUAAUUUCUUGUGUUUAAAAUGUUUUGUACUUAAAUGUUCUGUGCUGCGCACAACACUUUCUAUUACAAAGAAAAUAGUACAUUUUCAAUAGAAUGCACUGUGCCGCGCACAACACUAUCUAUACAAAAUGCAUUGUAUGGGAAGUUUUAUGAACUGCUCAAAACAUUAUAAUACCAAAUAAACAUGGAACUUAUUAAAAACUUUAAACACA